rnacentral:rRNA from 1 species
AUGGCGGCGGCGAAGAAGAAUGACGACGGCGAGCCUGGGGCGACAGCCAGCGGCGAGGGCGGUGCUCACUCCGAGGUCAACAAGUGGCUAGGCAGCGCAAGUUUCCCGACCCAGCGCUCGUCUGGGCCACCGACGCAGGAGGUCCAGAUCUCGCCGCCGUUCCGCGCGGCCAGGGCAGUGGCCAAAUGCAUCCACACGGAUCCAGAAGGCGGGCACCAGUGGGCCUCCUCACUUGGUGGCGUGGAAAAUCUGAAUGUGUUGUUUCUUUUUUUGCAUAGUUUGGAUGAUGAAGUAUGGGAAUUGAGGCUGCAUUUUCAGGGUAGAGACAACAUGGAAAGGAAGUUUUCCUUAUCAGAAAUAAAUUACCUGGUAUUGUUAGCACUUAUUGAACUUGAGGGCUAUGGGUUGGAUGCCUAUCUGUCAUAUGUUAAGGAUGAGGGUAAGGGGCUGGAGGGGAUUGAGGUUUUGGACAAUGAUGAGAAGGUGGAGGAGAUGCUAGAUUUGUUUGCUGAGAAGAAAGUAUUGAACGUAACAGUGAGAGAGGCUAGUGACCCAAAUCCAGCAGAUGCAAACAUGGACCACACCUUGCUUGAAGAGCAGAUUCCAAUUAGUCAAGUUGGUGAUCCCAUUGUUUAUAGUGUUUCCCAAGAAGGGGUGAUUAUAGAGGGAAGAAAAUUUCAUACAAGUCUUGGGCUAGGGGGAGAAGAUGAAGGUGGUGAAGGAACAAGUCAGCACUACAGGGAAGAGGAAGAGAUGGUUGAGCAUUAUUUCGGGGCUGCUUCUGAACCCUCAGAGUUUUGGCAGGAGCCAAAUGGUUCUGAAGAAGAUGAUGAAGAAGAAGCUUCAGAUCAUGUGAAAACUGUGGCACAGAAGAUACCUGUGAGGAAACAAGGCCCAGCAAGCCGAUCACACAGUGAGCCAGAUCACAUAAAGUUUGAAGAUUUCGUGCCAGAAGCUGAUGAGUUUGGCUUUUCAGGUGAUGAAGGCAUUUCUGAUGAAGAAGAUGAUGCACCUAGGUUGCCUUGUGGCAAGAAGAGAAAAUUGAAGAAGAAGAAGGAGAGAAUAUGCAUCAAGAAGAUGAAUCUUGAUCACACCUGUGGAGCAAGUGGAGAGAACACAAAGGUUACCAUGAAGUGGGUUGCAAAGGCUGUUGAGGAUACUGCUGCAUAUUCUUUCACUAAGCAUGGGCAUGAUCUGGGCCUGGAAGCAUUGAAGAAAGAGAGUGAGGAGGCAUGGAAGUGGUUGUCCAACAUACCAGUCCAUACUUGGGCCAGGCAUAGAAUGGAUAUUAUAUGCAAGACAGACCUUGUUGUAAACAAUCUUAGUGAAGUUUUCAACAGGAUGAUUCUGGAUGUUAGGAACAAGCCCAUAAGGACAAUGCUUGAAGGAAUUAGGACAAAACUCAUGAUCAAGUUUCAGAAGAUUAGGAAGAAGACAGAGACAUGUAGGUGGGAUAUCACACCCACUUACUCUGAGAUAUUGGAGGAGGCCAAGAAGUGGGCAAAAUAUUGUGAUGCAUAUAUGGCUGGACCAGGCAUUUGGCAAGUUACAAGUAGUUCAGAAAAGACCUGUGUAAACCUAAACAACUACACUUGUGACUGCAGGAGGUGGGAUAUGACAGCUGUUCCAUGUAGUCAUGCUAUAGCAGCAAUGCAGAAGGUGAAGCUACACCCUGAAGAUUUUUUCCAUGAGUUCUUCAAGAAGCCCCUCUACUGUGAAACCUACAAGCAUAUUAUAUACCCUGUUCCAGGCCCUGAUUGUUGGCCACACACCAUGGGGGAUGACAUAUCUCCUCCAGUAUUCAAAGAAAAGAAGGGUAAAAAACAGACAACUAGGAGGAAAGGACAUUUUGAGGUGCCUGCCAAGAAGGAUACAUCAAGAAUUGGGACAGUGACUUGUAGCAAUUGCAAUAAGCAAGGUCACAGAUAUACCACAUGUGGUGUUCCACUGAAACCCAAACUGCAGAUGAGAAAGAAUAAUCACCAGGAGAAUAGGUCAGACUACUCUUCAUCUACCAGAGCUACUACAGGUGUGGUUGCACCACCACCACCAUCAGCACCAUCAGCACCAGCCAUAGCUAGGAAGAGGACUGCAACAGCCACAGCUACUCCAGGACCAGCAAAGAGGAACAAGGCAGCUUCUUCUGCUACUCCAGCACCUGCCAAGAAGACCAAAGCAACCAAGAAGACAAGGGCUCCUAGCACAUCUUCACCAGCCAAGAACACAAGGUCAUCCAUUGCCUCUCCAGCAAAGAACACCAGAGCAUCAACAGCUAGCAGAGGAGGGGGGUACACAGGUUUCAAUGCUCCAAGGCAAGCUGCUCACUCUGAGAUGGUGAUUGGGUCCAAGAGGGUUAGGAAGCCAACUGGAAAGUGGAAGGCAUAUUUCACUGCUAGUGGUAACUAUUGA